rnacentral:tmRNA from 1 species
CGGGGGCAGUGCCCGGCGCCUCCACCAUAAAUAACCUUCUGACUCAACGGUUUAUGGGGGCGAAACAGGAUCGACGUGCGUGGUAAAGGCAUGACUUUCGUUCGGCAUGGUACCACCGAUAUCGGGCCGAUAUUACAAAUGCUAACGAUAAUGAAGCAUUUGCGGUAGCCGCUUAAUAACCGGUCUGCCACGGGGUUCGGAGGGCACCUGGCAACAGAAGCCCUCCACU